GAUGAACGCUGGCGGCGUGCCUAAUACAUGCAAGUCGAGCGAACAGACGAGGAGCUUGCUCCUCUGACGUUAGCGGCGGACGGGUGAGUAACACGUGGAUAACCUACCUAUAAGACUGGGAUAACUUCGGGAAACCGGAGCUAAUACCGGAUAAUAUUUUGAACCGCAUGGUUCAAUAGUGAAAGACGGUUUUGCUGUCACUUAUAGAUGGAUCCGCGCCGCAUUAGCUAGUUGGUAAGGUAACGGCUUACCAAGGCAACGAUGCGUAGCCGACCUGAGAGGGUGAUCGGCCACACUGGAACUGAGACACGGUCCAGACUCCUACGGGAGGCAGCAGUAGGGAAUCUUCCGCAAUGGGCGAAAGCUUGACGGAGCAACGCCGCGUGAGUGAUGAAGGUCUUCGGAUCGUAAAACUCUGUUAUUAGGGAAGAACAAAUGUGUAAGUAACUAUGCACAUCUUGACGGUACCUAAUCAGAAAGCCACGGCUAACUACGUG
rnacentral:rRNA from 1 species